GCCAUUCUGGAGCCCUGCUUCUUCUGCAGAACAUGAGUACUGGCAUUUCUGGCUCAGAAAGAUUCCCCUGAAUCCAGUGAGACGCGGUGCAGUGCCUGCGUGGAGACAAUCCAUGGACACAGACAGAGCCAGUUCCACCUUGAUACAGCCUGGUCCCUCUAUGGACAGGAGAUUGAAGGACUGCAUGGACAGAAGCUGAGCUGGUGCACAUGAGAAGCAGGAAGAGCAAACUGUAGCAUCUCAAAUACUGGGCAGAGGACCUAUGAUGGAACUGAAGCUGUGGAACAACUAGGACAGCCUCUACAGGUUUGUCUUCCUUCUCACUCUUCUUC
rnacentral:lncRNA from 1 species